UUCUCAGAAGAAUAGCUGAAGAAGAUUCAGGGGCAGAGAUUACAGAGGGAAGACAGACAAUGCAAGUUGAAGCUCACAGGACAAGGGCACUGAUUGUGUCUCUGUGUGUGUGCAUGCACAAAUGCACAAAAGAAACAGAGUAAGAGCAGAAGCUGAUGUGGUCUAACACAGGAGUCCUCAAACCCCAGGCCACAGACUGGAAGGUGUGUUAGGAACCUGGCCGCACAGCAGGAGUUGAGCAGCAGAAAGGCAUCAAAAGAAAGCCUAAGUGUGAAAUAAUACUCAUCAUUAAGAAGUAAAGAGCCACACAAAUCAACAGUUUGGCUUAGAUUAGAUUAAUCUCUUAUUUUGCCCAAAUAUUAUCUUAAAGUCUGAAAAAAUGUCUAAUUCAACUAAGAAGAAAUUUACUCUAAUAAUUAUAUAAAGACAGGAAAACAACAAAUAUAGGAACAAAUUGAAGGAUGUCUAAAUCUGCUGUUAUCACAGGCUGAUUUUCCACAUGUAUGCAUAAAUUGGCAUGCCACCUUUCAUUCUGUCUGUUUGAGAGAUUGAUUGUUUUCCCUAAGGAGCUGAUCGUAUAUUAUUCUGGGAAGCCUGAGUGUUAUCUUACAGGCUACAGAGAACACUACAGGAACUGUCCAAGUCGUGCUAUUAUCUGGUUUAAUUUUCAGGAAUAUGACCCUGGUAGCAAUAAAAGAAAAAAAAUGGCAGGAAUGUUUGAAGGAAGUCCCUAAAACUAUGUAGGCAAGAGAUAAUGAGGCACUGGAGGAGGUGGGGGACCCCAAGCAGCAAGGCUGGAAGACUCUCCCUAUAAAUGGGCA
rnacentral:lncRNA from 1 species